GCUGCUGUGUGCCGGUAUGCCGGGGUAGGCUAGACAGCUCACAAUUUUCUGUUUGUACUUAAGAGGCAGCAGUAUUUGACAGAAAAUAAUAAUACUUUGAUGCUCUUCUCACGCCUACAAGCGAAGACGGCGUGAUUAACAACACAGCGUAAUGCGCAACGGUGAACGCCAACGAACUCCACCACCAACCUGGACGAAGCAUUUUGGACUGAAGCUGCCUCGAUAUCUACAAUACAUUGGAUACUACGUGCAGGAUAAUGAAUGGCUACCUGAACGCUGCUUGAAGCGGCAAGCUCUACAGUAUCACUUAUGCUCCUUUCCAUGGGUUGGCAAGAGGAACCGUGGCACGCAGCUCCACAGUCACCUGUGCUCUUCACUACCUUCGGAGAAGAUGCAUUGGAUGCUCCCUAUCAUGCACUGCCAUCUCAACAGUACCAUGGCUUUUUGUGUGGAUUCCUUCCAUUUUGAAUGCCACCACUGCUUGCACAGCAUCACAGCCUGCCUGUCUUGAUCUUGCGGAAGAAGAAAAUACAAAAUGCCUAUUUUUUUAAAUGCGUGCAUGGCUCCACGCAAGACACCACCUGGCGUCGGGGUGUUAGGGCUUUUUGCAGAGAAAAUGUUUGUAAUAAUGCCUUGUGUGUGCCCUAGUGGCUAAAUGUUGGCCUCUUUGCCUGUGUAAAAAUUUCACACUUAUGGAUACUGUUAAGGGUUCCUGUAUUAUUGUUAUUACUUAGUUUCCUGUUCAGGAUUCCUGUAUUGGAAAUUUUUGUUUCAUUAUAAAACUAAAAAUUUUAGUUGAAUUGCUGCUUUGUGCGAUAUGCAAUAUUCAGCCGAAGGUGGUCAGCAGAGGUCGAACAAGCGUUAUAUCAGGUGGAGAAAUUUUUUUGAGCAGGGGACUUCUUCGUUAGGGUAACAACUGUUUUCCUUGGCAUUAUUUAUAUAGUUCACUUUUCUCCACUUCAUGGAUAUCCAUCAAAAUGACUGAGUGCAUAGGGAGGGUGAGGCAAGUUUAAAUGCUCAACAUGGGGAUUUAGUUAGGAUAGCAAGGUGUGUAGAAGUAGGGGAGUUUGGGAGGUUGCUGACACCGAUUUCUAUGAGUGAUCUUGUUGUUUGUGUCAAUGUCGGUUAUAUAAUGCGAGGCGUCUUCUGAGGCAAGAAACUUUGAAAAAGCUCCUUAUAGCUGUGGAAAUUCAGUACGUGCCCCCUGGGGCUACCAUGGGUGUGUCACUGUGGCCAUUGGUUAUCACUUGGGGCCACUGGGUAGAUGCAGCUCUUCACCGAACUUUUUUGACACAAACUUGUGUAUGUACACUGGGUGUGUGCCACUGCAUGUGUGCCACUCUUUAAUGGACCUCUUUGAUGCUGACUUUGGUCAUGGGGCAUCACAACAAGAACCUACGUAGUGGCAUCUGUGUAUGCAUGUAAGUGAGCUGAAAUUGUUUGCUUGGAUUUCCUUUCCCUGACGACUAGUCCCCUUGUUGAAUUUACUUCAGCCUGAGAUAUCACCUGUUUGACUACUGUUAUCACAUUAUGCCCCAUUUUGCUGUGAACUUGUCAUGUUCUCUAGCUGGCAAGCUUGAAUUUCAGGUACUGCACAGUGCUAAGGAAAUUGAUUCAGAGUGGGUGGUACUACCUCGGCUUUUCUUUGCAGCUGCGUGUUACAUGAGAGAAUAAGUUGUAUGUAGAUGUCUAUUAGAAAUAGCAUAGGUAUUCAAAAGUACUUUCAUUAUGUUCUAGGUCAUUGGUGCUGUCUGGCCUCCUUUGCAUCAUUUUUUGUAGCAUGCUUGUUUACGUGCAAAAACAAAUGUGGCCUGUUCUAAUGCCUGCAAGGACUGCCCAAUAGCUCAUGAUGUUUUGAGCCACUCAAUUUCAGUCUUGGCUGCACUUGUGGAUUUUCAACAUCACUGAAGCUUGCAAUAUGCUUGAAUUUCCUGCCAAACUGGUUUGCUUGUUUGUAUCCAAUUUAUUGAAUUAUUUCACUUUCAUUAUGCUAAUAGUCAUUGAUUGUAAUAUGCUGGCACAUUUGA